GAUGAACGCUAGCGGCAGGCUUAAUACAUGCAAGUCGAGGGGCAGCGCAGUGUAGCAAUACAUGGGCGGCGACCGGCAAACGGGUGCGGAACACGUACACAACCUUCCUACAAGUGGGGGAUAGCCCAGAGAAAUUUGGAUUAAUACCCCGUAACAUAGCGAUGUGGCAUCACAUUGUUAUUAUAGCUACGGCGCUUGUUGAUGGGUGUGCGGCUGAUUAGGUAGUUGGCGGGGUAACGGCCCACCAAGCCUUCGAUCAGCAGCUGAUGUGAGAGCAUGCUCAGCCACACGGGCACUGAGACACGGGCCCGACUCCUACGGGAGGCAGCAGUAAGGAAUAUUGGUCAAUGGACGCAAGUCUGAACCAGCCGUGCCGCGUGAAGGAUUAAGGUCCUCUGGAUUGUAAACUUCUUUUAUUUGGGACGAAAAAGGGUCUUUCUAGAUCAGCUGACGGUACCAGGUGAAUAAGCACCGGCUAACUCCGUGCCAGCAGCCGCGGUAAAAC
rnacentral:rRNA from 1 species